rnacentral:misc_RNA from 1 species
GAUGAAGAACGCAGCGAAAUGCGAUAAGUAGUGUGAAUUGCAGAAUUCAGUGAAUCAUCGAAUCUUUGAACGCACAUUGCGCCCCUUGGUAUCCCGAGGGGCAUGCCUGUUCGAGCGUCAUUGCUGCCCUUCAAGCCCGGCUUGUGUGUUGGGUCGUCGUCCCCCCCGGGGGACGGGCCCGAAAGGCAGCGGCGGCACCGCGUCCGGUCCUCGAGCGUAUGGGGCUUUGUCACCCGCUCGAUUAGGGCCGGCCGGGCGCCAGCCGGCGUCUCCAACCUUCUAUUUUACCAGGUUGACCUCGGAUCAGGUAGGGAUACCCGCUGAACUUAAGCAUAUCAAUAAGCGGAGGA